ACUGAAGUACAUCAGACAGGCAGGGGCAUCAAGAUGAAGUCACAGAUCCAGGUCUUCAUAGUCUUGCUGCUCUGUGUAUCUGGUGCUCAUGGAAGCAUUGUGAUGACCCAGUCUCCAGAAUCCCUUCCUGCAUCAGUAGGAGACAGGGUUAUCAUGAGCUGUAAGGCCAGUCAGAGUGUGAGUAAUGAAGUAGCCUGGUACCAACAGAAGCCAGGGCAGUCUCCUAAACCGCUGAUCUACUAUGCAUCCACUCGGUACACUGGAGUCCCUGAUCGCUUCACAGGCAGUGGAUCUGGGACAGAUUUCACUCUCAGCAUCGACAGUGUGCAGGAUGAAGACAUGGCGGAUUAUUUCUGUCAGCAGGAUUACAACUAUCCUCCCACAGUGAUUCUUCCUCCUACAAAAACCUCCUUGAGAGUCUCACAGCUGCCUGUUCCACAUAUAGCUGUAGCUUUACACACUUCACCCUCUGCCUGA